UACGGAGGGUGCAAGCGUUAUCCGGAUUUACUGGGUUUAAAGGGUGUGUAGGCGGACUUUUAAGUCAGCGGUGAAAUCUCCGGGCUCAACCCGGAAACUGCCAUUGAUACUAUUGGUCUUGAAUGUUGUUGAGGUGGGCGGAACGGGUCAGUGUAGCGGUGAAAUGCAUAGAUAUGACCCGGAACACCGAUUGCGAAGGCAGCCCACUAAGCAACGAUUGACGCUGAGGCACGAAAGCGUGGGGAG
rnacentral:rRNA from 1 species